GCUAUCUUUGGCAGUCCAGCCAUUAAAAUUGGAACAAUAGAAUGAAGGUUAGAUGGCCCUGGCAUGAGUAUGACAUGCAAAUUUGAGAAGCAUUCCAUAUUUUU
rfam:Tupaia chinensis contig645, whole genome shotgun sequence.